CUGCACGUUGUGGGAUUCUCAAGUUGUGUCUCCUGCAAGGACUAGGAAAGAUCCAUCCAUGCUGCUUACCUCUUACGGAGAAUCCUGCAAAGUACGUAUCAUCAUUUGUGCUGGAGGACAGACUUCUUCAGUAGCUUGCUGGCUGCCAUGGCUCCAAGAAGGACUCACACAGUAAAUAAGGAUAAAGGAGGCUAAGCCCAGACUGUCUCCACAAUUGCCUUUCCCAGCUGUGCUGUGCUGGAAGACAAAAGCAAACCAAGGUGGAUGUUACACAAGGUGGUUGCAUCAGUGGGAUCACUCCCU
rnacentral:lncRNA from 1 species